rnacentral:rRNA from 1 species
GACGAACGCUGGCGGCGUGCUUAACACAUGCAAGUCGAACGAUGAACCCGGAGCUUGCUCCGGUGGAUUAGUGGCGAACGGGUGAGUAACACGUGAGUAACCUGCCCUUGACUCUGGGAUAACUGCGGGAAACUGUAGCUAAUACCGGAUACGACCCUCGGCGGCAUCGCCAGGGGGUGGAAAGAAUUUCGGUCAAGGAUGGACUCGCGGCCUAUCAGCUAGUUGGUGAGGUAACGGCUCACCAAGGCGACGACGGGUAGCCGGCCUGGGAGGGUGACCGACCACACUGGGACUAAGACACGGACCAGACGCCGCCGGGAGGCAGCAGUGGGGAAUAUUGAACAAUGGGCGCAAGCCUGAUGCAGCAACGCCGCGUGAGGGAUGACGGCCUUCGGGUUGUAAACCUCUUUCAGCACCGACGAAGCGCAAGUGACGGUAGGUGCAGAAGAAGGACCGGCCAACUACGUGCCAGCCGCCGCAGUAA